GACGAACGCUGGCGGCGUGCUUAACACAUGCAAGUCGAACGGAGUGGCGAACGGGUGAGUAACACGUGGGUGAUCUGCUUUGCACUUCGGGAUAAGCUUGGGAAACUGGGUCUAAUACCGGAUAGUGCAAGAUGAUCUCGAGGCCUAUCAGCUUGUUGGUGGGGUAAUGGCCUACCAAGGCGUCGACGGGUGGCCGGCAUGAGAGGGUGGACGGCCAAAUUGGGACUGAGAUACGGUCCAGACGCCUACGGGGGGCAGCAGUGGGGAAUAUGGCACAAUGGGGGGAAGCCUGAUGCAGCGACGCCGGGUGGGGGAUGAAGUCCUUCGGGUUGUAAACUCCUUUCGACAGGGACGCGGUACCUGUAUAGGACGCACCGGCUAACUACGUGCCAGCAGCCGCGGUAAUUC
rnacentral:rRNA from 1 species